rnacentral:rRNA from 1 species
UUGAAGAGUUUGAUCAUGGCUCAGAUUGAACGCUGGCGGCAGGCCUAACACAUGCAAGUCGAGCGGUAGCACAGAGAGCUUGCUCUCGGGUGACGAGCGGCGGACGGGUGAGUAAUGUCUGGGAAACUGCCUGAUGGAGGGGGAUAACUACUGGAAACGGUAGCUAAUACCGCAUAAUGUCGCAAGACCAAAGUGGGGGACCUUCGGGCCUCAUGCCAUCAGAUGUGCCCAGAUGGGAUUAGCUGGUAGGUGGGGUAACGGCUCACCUAGGCGACGAUCCCUAGCUGGUCUGAGAGGAUGACCAGCCACACUGGAACUGAGACACGGUCCAGACUCCUACGGGAGGCAGCAGUGGGGAAUAUUGCACAAUGGGCGCAAGCCUGAUGCAGCCAUGCCGCGUGUGUGAAGAAGGCCUUCGGGUUGUAAAGCACUUUCAGCGGGGAGGAAGGCGGUGAGGUUAAUAACCUCAUCGAUUGACGUUACCCGCAGAAGAAGCACCGGCUAACUCCGUGCCAGCAGCCGCGGUAAUACGGAGGGUGCAAGCGUUAAUCGGAAUUACUGGGCGUAAAGCGCACGCAGGCGGUCUGUCAAGUCGGAUGUGAAAUCCCCGGGCUCAACCUGGGAACUGCAUUCGAAACUGGCAGGCUAGAGUCUUGUAGAGGGGGGUAGAAUUCCAGGUGUAGCGGUGAAAUGCGUAGAGAUCUGGAGGAAUACCGGUGGCGAAGGCGGCCCCCUGGACAAAGACUGACGCUCAGGUGCGAAAGCGUGGGGAGCAAACAGGAUUAGAUACCCUGGUAGUCCACGCUGUAAACGAUGUCGAUUUGGAGGUUGUGCCCUUGAGGCGUGGCUUCCGGAGCUAACGCGUUAAAUCGACCGCCUGGGGAGUACGGCCGCAAGGUUAAAACUCAAAUGAAUUGACGGGGGCCCGCACAAGCGGUGGAGCAUGUGGUUUAAUUCGAUGCAACGCGAAGAACCUUACCUGGUCUUGACAUCCACAGAACUUUCCAGAGAUGGAUUGGUGCCUUCGGGAACUGUGAGACAGGUGCUGCAUGGCUGUCGUCAGCUCGUGUUGUGAAAUGUUGGGUUAAGUCCCGCAACGAGCGCAACCCUUAUCCUUUGUUGCCAGCGGUUAGGCCGGGAACUCAAAGGAGACUGCCAGUGAUAAACUGGAGGAAGGUGGGGAUGACGUCAAGUCAUCAUGGCCCUUACGACCAGGGCUACACACGUGCUACAAUGGCAUAUACAAAGAGAAGCGACCUCGCGAGAGCAAGCGGACCUCAUAAAGUAUGUCGUAGUCCGGAUUGGAGUCUGCAACUCGACUCCAUGAAGUCGGAAUCGCUAGUAAUCGUAGAUCAGAAUGCUACGGUGAAUACGUUCCCGGGCCUUGUACACACCGCCCGUCACACCAUGGGAGUGGGUUGCAAAAGAAGUAGGUAGCUUAACCUUCGGGAGGGCGCUUACCACUUUGUGAUUCAUGACUGGGGUGAAGUCGUAACAAGGUAACCGUAGGGGAACCUGCGGUUGGAUCACCUCCUU